CCCUUAGAUGUCCUGGGCCGCACGCGCGCUACACUGACAUGUUCAACAAGCCUCCUAGUUCGACAGGAUUUGGGAAAUCUUUGAACGCAUGUCGUGAUAGGGAUAGAUCAUUGCAAUUUUUGAUCUUGAACGAGGAAUUCCUAGUAAACGCGAGUCAUCAGCUCGCAUUGAUUACGUCCCUGCCCUUUGUACACACCGCCCGUCGCACCUACCGAUUGAAUGUUUCGGUGAAGAUUCCGGAUAGGACUUUUUUGAUUUAUUUCAAUUUUGUCUUAAAAGCUAUCUAAACCUCAACAUUUAGAGGAAGGUGAAGUCGUAACA
rnacentral:rRNA from 1 species